ensembl:lncRNA
AGCUGGAGUAGAAGACCCUGAUUUCAGUCAUAAGUGUUCAGAGUUCUAGAGUUCCUUUUAUCUGCUCUCGAUCCAGCCAUGCCUCUUCUCACAGUGAAGACAGGAUGAUAGGGAAGCCAUUCGCAAUCUGCCAUGGCACCGUGGAGCUGCAAACUAUUGCUGAAAUUCCUUACAGAAGUUUCGGUCUCUUGUACGAGACUGGCUGAAAUGAGAGUUAAAUGCCAUGUGCCUGAAAGGCCCUGAUACAACCUCUAGCAAAUAAACAGGUCUCAGGACACUCAGCUCUCCAUUUCUCUGAUUGCACUGGGGAGUGCCCAGAAGCUGGUGCUGGGUCUGUGCCUGAAUUGGAGGAAGACAGUACCGGGUGUGGCCAGCCUCUCCUGACAAUGAAUUUGCACGCUGUCAGGAACGUUCCCAGAGAGCCCAGAUUCAUUAUGAAUAACUCUACAAGGACCAAAGCAGGCCUUAAAAAUCAUGAAUGAAA